AGCUGACCUGUUUUCUCCGUCCUGGCCCGCCUCCAUAUUGCCAGUGUGCAGAGGCGGGAGGGAAAGGAAGAGGGAAGUGGAAAGGGAGCAAAGAAGCUAGUGAGGGUCUUGCUAUAUUGCCCAGGCUGGGCUCAAACUUGUGAUCCUCCAUCCCUGGUCUCCCAGAGUGCUGGGACUACAUAUGUGCACCACCAAUGCCAGCAAAGUGACAAGUUUUCACGAUUUCAGUGGCAGGACAAGAAAGUGGCACAAGCAACAAAUCCAAGACAACGUAAAAAAAGGUCCAGUAGUCUAAAACCUGAAAACCCUAAAAAACAAAGUAUUUGGUUUCCGUCACUUCCCUGACAUUCCAGGGGUGGAGUAAGGGGAGGAGCUGGCGAGGGCCUCCCAGUGGAGCACUCAAAAGGGAAGCAGUGGGGUCUGAAGCAGCAACUCCCAUAGAGCACCAGCUGUGGAACUGCAUAGCCCUUCUGCUAUACAUAAAGAACACAUGGUUGCAGCAUUUCCUGUCCUGAGUACUGCAAGCUGCUUUCCAAAGACUGUUCUCAGCUUCAGAUGAUCCCGGGCCUCAACAUUCUAAAGAAUGAAAGAAAGUACCACCCCUAGAAGAGAAAGAAAAUAUUUCCUCUGAAAUUGUGGACGUCUCAUGGCAUCCUUCCAUCACUAACAGUACACCUGCCUCACAGGGCCAGCCAUGGGUAGGCAGUCAGCGUCCAUUCCGGAGGCCGCUGUGGAGUCUUCACAACUUUGGCAACUUCAGGGCUGAGCUGUCCGGCAGUGGUAAUCUUAUUGUGGGAGCCUAUGAGUGACCACUGACCUGAUGGAGGGUUAGUCUCGGCAGGAGGAUGGCUAUUAAUGGGUUGUUUUUAGGUGAAAGCUGAAGAAACCACAAAUAAAAUCC